rnacentral:rRNA from 1 species
UACGGAGGGUGCAAGCGUUGUUCGGAUUUAUUGGGCGUAAAGCGCGUGUAGGCGGUUUUUUAAGUCUGAUGUGAAAGCCCCGGGCUCAACCUGGGAAGUGCAUUGGAUACUGGAAGACUUGAAUACGGGAGAGGGCAGUGGAAUUCCUGGUGUAGGAGUGAAAUCCGUAGACAUCAGGAGGAACACCGGUGGCGAAGGCGGCUGCCUGGACCGAUAUUGACGCUGAGACGCGAAAGCGUGGGUAGCAAACAGG